AGAAGGCUCAGUUUCUCUGCUCAUCACACGGCCUUCGGCACUGUAGCUUUGGGUGGUGGGCUGCAGAUUAAUUUUGUAACCACCUUAAGAAAAAUACGAGAUGAGCAUCAGGAUUUUAUGGAUGAGCAAAAACGACUAAAGAAGCUUCGUGGAAAGGAGAAACCAAAGAAAGGAGAAGGGAAAAGAGCAGCAAAAAGGAAAUAGUGUUGGUCCCUCAAGAGGGAGACUUUCUUCCUCAGUGGCGGAGAGAAGAAAGUGCAUUUAUUGUCUUUCCACCUAUUGGAGGAAUGUCAUCUUCCUAAAUGAAGUUUAUUUGGAGGAACACAGUCAUCUCCUUGGUGAAAUCUAAUCCGGUUACAUUGUGGCUGGUUUCUUGAACACAUUCUAACUGUGCAAAAUUAUCUUGGCCUUGGCCGUGUAAUGUGAGGUUUACCUGAUUCUCUAAUGAAAUAAAUACCUAAGUUAU
rnacentral:lncRNA from 1 species